rnacentral:rRNA from 1 species
UAGGGAAUAUUGGACAAUGGGCGAAAGCCUGAUCCAGCCAUGCCGCGUGAGUGAUGAAGGCCUUCGGGUCGUAAAACUCUUUUCUGAGAGAAGAACAUCCGGGGAAGGAAAUGUCACCGGCUUGACGGUAUCUCAGGAAUAAGCAACGGCUAACUCCGUGCCAGCAGCCGCGGUAAUACGGAGGUUGCAAGCGUUGUUCGGAAUGACUGGGCGUAAAGGGAGCGCAGGCGGUUUGGCAAGUCUAAAGUGAAAGCCCGGGGCGUAACCUCGGAAGGGCUUUGGAUACUGCUGAACUUGAGUUCGUGAGAGGAGAGCGGAAUUCCAGGUGUAGCGGUGAAAUGCGUAGAUAUCUGGAGGAACACCGGUGGCGAAGGCGGCUCUCUGGCGCGAUACUGACGCUGAGGCUCGAAAGCAUGGGGAGCGAACG